UACGUAGGGUCCGAGCGUUGUCCGGAAUUACUGGGCGUAAAGAGCUCGUAGGUGGUUUGUCGCGUUGUUCGUGAAAACUCACAGCUCAACUGUGGGCGUGCGGGCGAUACGGGCAGACUGGAGUACUGCAGGGGAGACUGGAAUUCCUGGUGUAGCGGUGAAAUGCGCAGAUAUCGGGAGGAACACCGGUGGCGAAGGCGGCUCUCUAGUACGGUACUGACGCUGAGACGCGAAAGCGUGGGGAGCGAACAGG
rnacentral:rRNA from 1 species